rnacentral:rRNA from 1 species
AACCCGUAAAGAACUUGCCCUUUAGACUGGGAUAACAGAGGGAAACUUCUGAUAAUACUGGAUANAGNUAGUAUAUCGCAUGAUAUGCAAAUGAAANGCUACNGNGCACUAAAGGAGANCUUUGCGNCCUAUUAGCUAGUUGGUAAGGUAAGAGCUUACCAAGGCGAUGAUAGGUAGCCGGCCUGAGANGGUGGACGGCCACAAGGGGACUGAGAUACGGCCCUUACUCCUACGGGAGGCAGCAGUGGGGAAUAUUGGACAAUGGAGGGAACUCUGAUCCAGCAAUUCUGUGUGUGUGAAGAAGGUUUUAGGACUGUAAA